rnacentral:lncRNA from 1 species
GAUAAACAAAGAAGCACAUGUUACAAAGGAAAAUGUGCUGGUAUCAUGUAAGAUAUUAUUUAGUAGCUGCUUUCAAAUAAUUGAAUCAUAGACACAGAUUUCUGAGGUUUUAAGCUCAUUAUUUUGGCUCCCUGGUUUCUCCUAGGAUGCAGUAUAGAAUCUCCAUGCCUGGUGUUUAUGUACAAACAGAAGCUGCUUUUUCUUUCUUUCAUUAUUUCUUUUUUAAGUGAAAGUUAAAACCUUUUAUAUGUUACAGAGAAGAGGCAGAAAAAGCCACACUCCCACUCUGGUACAAUGCAGAGAGAAUCAGCUGAGGGAGGAUUAUGCACAUGGCUGGGUCCAAUUUAUUCAAUGGUUCUUUUGCUUUGUAGAUAGCAAAUGGUGGUAUUCAUCUUGUGUGAUGAAUAACAUCAUCACAUCUUGUGUGAUUAGCAAAUGUGAGGUCAAAAUGAAUCUUUUAACAACUAGAAUUAUUUUGUUAUUUAAAAAUGGUUUG